rnacentral:rRNA from 11 species
UUAAGUUAUUAAGGGCGCACGGUGGAUGCCUUGGCACUAGAAGCCGAUGAAGGACGUUACUAACGACGAUAUGCUUUGGGGAGCUGUAAGUAAGCUUUGAUCCAGAGAUUUCCGAAUGGGGAAACCCAGCAUGAGUUAUGUCAUGUUAUCGAUAUGUGAAUACAUAGCAUAUCAGAAGGCACACCCGGAGAACUGAAACAUCUUAGUACCCGGAGGAAGAGAAAGAAAAUUCGAUUCCCUUAGUAGCGGCGAGCGAAACGGGAAGAGCCCAAACCAACAAGCUUGCUUGUUGGGGUUGUAGGACACUCUGUACGGAGUUACAAAGGACGACAUUAGACGAAUCAUCUGGAAAGAUGAAUCAAAGAAGGUAAUAAUCCUGUAGUCGAAAAUGUUGUCUCUCUUGAGUGGAUCCUGAGUACGACGGAGCACGUGAAAUUCCGUCGGAAUCUGGGAGGACCAUCUCCUAAGGCUAAAUACUCUCUAGUGACCGAUAGUGAACCAGUACCGUGAGGGAAAGGUGAAAAGCACCCCGGAAGGGGAGUGAAAUAGAACCUGAAACCGUGUGCUUACAAGUAGUCAGAGCCCGUUAAUGGGUGAUGGCGUGCCUUUUGUAGAAUGAACCGGCGAGUUACGAUUUGAUGCAAGGUUAAGCAGUAAAUGUGGAGCCGUAGCGAAAGCGAGUCUGAAUAGGGCGUUUAGUAUUUGGUCGUAGACCCGAAACCAGGUGAUCUACCCUUGGUCAGGUUGAAGUUCAGGUAACACUGAAUGGAGGACCGAACCGACUUACGUUGAAAAGUGAGCGGAUGAACUGAGGGUAGCGGAGAAAUUCCAAUCGAACCUGGAGAUAGCUGGUUCUCUCCGAAAUAGCUUUAGGGCUAGCCUCAAGUGAUGAUUAUUGGAGGUAGAGCACUGUUUGGACGAGGGGCCCCUCUCGGGUUACCGAAUUCAGACAAACUCCGAAUGCCAAUUAAUUUAACUUGGGAGUCAGAACAUGGGUGAUAAGGUCCGUGUUCGAAAGGGAAACAGCCCAGACCACCAGCUAAGGUCCCAAAAUAUAUGUUAAGUGGAAAAGGAUGUGGCGUUGCCCAGACAACUAGGAUGUUGGCUUAGAAGCAGCCAUCAUUUAAAGAGUGCGUAAUAGCUCACUAGUCGAGUGACACUGCGCCGAAAAUGUACCGGGGCUAAACAUAUUACCGAAGCUGUGGAUUGUCCUUUGGACAAUGGUAGGAGAGCGUUCUAAGGGCGUUGAAGCAUGAUCGUAAGGACAUGUGGAGCGCUUAGAAGUGAGAAUGCCGGUGUGAGUAGCGAAAGACGGGUGAGAAUCCCGUCCACCGAUUGACUAAGGUUUCCAGAGGAAGGCUCGUCCGCUCUGGGUUAGUCGGGUCCUAAGCUGAGGCCGACAGGCGUAGGCGAUGGAUAACAGGUUGAUAUUCCUGUACCACCUAUAAUCGUUUUAAUCGAUGGGGGGACGCAGUAGGAUAGGCGAAGCGUGCGAUUGGAUUGCACGUCUAAGCAGUAAGGCUGAGUAUUAGGCAAAUCCGGUACUCGUUAAGGCUGAGCUGUGAUGGGGAGAAGACAUUGUGUCUUCGAGUCGUUGAUUUCACACUGCCGAGAAAAGCCUCUAGAUAGAAAAUAGGUGCCCGUACCGCAAACCGACACAGGUAGUCAAGAUGAGAAUUCUAAGGUGAGCGAGCGAACUCUCGUUAAGGAACUCGGCAAAAUGACCCCGUAACUUCGGGAGAAGGGGUGCUCUUUAGGGUUAACGCCCAGAAGAGCCGCAGUGAAUAGGCCCAAGCGACUGUUUAUCAAAAACACAGGUCUCUGCUAAACCGUAAGGUGAUGUAUAGGGGCUGACGCCUGCCCGGUGCUGGAAGGUUAAGAGGAGUGGUUAGCUUCUGCGAAGCUACGAAUCGAAGCCCCAGUAAACGGCGGCCGUAACUAUAACGGUCCUAAGGUAGCGAAAUUCCUUGUCGGGUAAGUUCCGACCCGCACGAAAGGCGUAACGAUUUGGGCACUGUCUCAACGAGAGACUCGGUGAAAUCAUAGUACCUGUGAAGAUGCAGGUUACCCGCGACAGGACGGAAAGACCCCGUGGAGCUUUACUGUAGCCUGAUAUUGAAAUUCGGCACAGCUUGUACAGGAUAGGUAGGAGCCUUUGAAACGUGAGCGCUAGCUUACGUGGAGGCGCUGGUGGGAUACUACCCUAGCUGUGUUGGCUUUCUAACCCGCACCACUUAUCGUGGUGGGAGACAGUGUCAAGCGGGCAGUUUGACUGGGGCGGUCGCCUCCUAAAAGGUAACGGAGGCGCUCAAAGGUUCCCUCAGAAUGGUUGGAAAUCAUUCAUAGAGUGUAAAGGCAUAAGGGAGCUUGACUGCGAGACCUACAAGUCGAGCAGGGUCGAAAGACGGACUUAGUGAUCCGGUGGUUCCGCAUGGAAGGGCCAUCGCUCAACGGAUAAAAGCUACCCCGGGGAUAACAGGCUUAUCUCCCCCAAGAGUUCACAUCGACGGGGAGGUUUGGCACCUCGAUGUCGGCUCAUCGCAUCCUGGGGCUGUAGUCGGUCCCAAGGGUUGGGCUGUUCGCCCAUUAAAGCGGUACGCGAGCUGGGUUCAGAACGUCGUGAGACAGUUCGGUCCCUAUCCGUCGUGGGCGUAGGAAAUUUGAGAGGAGCUGUCCUUAGUACGAGAGGACCGGGAUGGACAUACCUCUGGUGUACCAGUUGUCGUGCCAACGGCAUAGCUGGGUAGCUAUGUGUGGACGGGAUAAGUGCUGAAAGCAUCUAAGCAUGAAGCCCCCCUCAAGAUGAGAUUUCCCAACUUCGGUUAUAAGAUCCCUCAAAGAUGAUGAGGUUAAUAGGUUCGAGGUGGAAGCAUGGUGACAUGUGGAGCUGACGAAUACUAAUCGAUCGAAGACUUAAUCAA